ACUCUGUCAGUGCCUCAAGGAAGGGCUUCGUUCAUUUUCUUCAUUUCUCUUCUUCCUCAUUCAAAAGUUCCAGACCGAGAGAGAGAGAGAGAGAGAGUGCGCUGAACCUUCAUUCGGUUUCUCCAUCUUCUCUUCUCGCCGUUCAGGUUGCUGGUCGUGUGAUGGAUCACUGUGUUCUGGUUGUUAGCACGUGAGGAGCUGAUCUAAGAUUUGUGGAAGUCUGAUUUUUGAGCUGGAAGUUAGGGUGUAGCUGUCUUCUUCUCCCCUGUUCGGUCGCCCCUUCUCUGUUUCUUCCUUUCCGUGUUGUGGAUGAUCUAAGCUAAGAUUCAUUAGUUGAUGCUGAUUUUACUGCUGACCUCUGAAGGGCAUAUGGCUAUAUUGGAUGGAAAUUUUAUUUGGUAUUGUUACCUCUUGAUGUAAAUAUUUAAGAUUCAUGUAAUUUAGCUUAGAAAUAAGAUUAG